UACGUAGGUGUCGAGCGUUGUCCGGAUUUACUGGGCGUAAAGCGCACGUAGGCGGGUUGGUCAGUUAGGGGUGAAAUCCUGGAGCUCAACUCCAGAACUGCCUUUAAUACUGCCAGUCUCGAGUCCGGAAGAGGUAAGUGGAACUCCUAGUGUAGAGGUGGAAUUCGUAGAUAUUAGGAAGAACACCAGUGGCGAAGGCGGCUUACUGGUCCGGUACUGACGCUGAGGUGCGAAAGCGUGGGGAGCAAACAGG
rnacentral:rRNA from 1 species